GACGAACGCUGGCGGCGUGCUUAACACAUGCAAGUCGAACGGAAAGGCCUGCUUUCCCUUGUGGAUUGCGGGUACUCGAGUGGCGAACGGGUGAGUAACACGUGAGUGAUCUGCCCCCAACUUGGGUAUAAGCCUGGGAAACUGGGUCUAAUUCCCGAUAGGACUGCAGGGUGGUGCCUGUGGUGGAAAACGAUUUUCUAGUGGUUGGGGAUGAGCUCGCGGCCUAUCAGCUUGUUGGUGGGGUAAUGGCCUACCAAGGCGGCGACGGGUAGCCGGCCUGGGAGGGUGGACAGCCACAUUGGGACUGAGACACGGCCCAGACGCCUACGGGAGGCAGCAGUGGGGAAUAUUGCAAAAUGGGCGGAAGCCUGAUGCAGCGACGCCGCGUGGGGGAUGACGGCCUUCGGGUUGUAAACUCCUUUCGACCGCGAGGAAGCCACCUGGAUGGAAGGGUGGUGACGGUAGUGGUAGAAGAAGCACCGGCUAACUACGUG
rnacentral:rRNA from 1 species